rnacentral:lncRNA from 13 species
UGUUACACUGUGGGCCCUCAUAAAGCAUUAGAAUGAAGUCUCCCUCUCUGUCCUGCUGUCCCCCAGGUGGCUGUGUGUUCAUGUCUCUUUAAAACAGUCAGUGCCAGAGCAGAGUAGACAGACACUGAUAGAAGUAACACCUUAUUUCAUAAUACAAUGUUCGCAAAUGAGGAAAACUAAGUCAAACCAGGUGAAUCUCAUGCAUCAAAAUAUUAGUACUCUGAGGAAAUAUGUUCACAGAAGUGAUGUUUGCGAGUUGCAGUGGAGUUCAAAUCAAGCUACCAUUUCCAUUUGACAAAUAUUUCCUGCUGAUAAUUAGACAUGUGCAGUAACACCCAAGCAUUUUCAUAAAGGUGGAAUCAAUAUAGGCAUUUCAUUCCAAUGCUUUGCGAAGCUGUCCUACCAGUGCAGAAAACAAACUAUCAGUGACUAACUUCAGAAGUUUUUACAGUGUCAUUUAUAUACAACCAAACCACCCGUUGUUAUUAAAAAACACAACCACAUUAUACACCCACCCCAGUGGUGUGGCUACAGGACAGAAUAUAUAAGGCUUGUAGAAGGUGACUCCAAGUGUUCCUCUAAUCUGUCAAUCAAACGUCCUGUUGUACCUCAUUGGUCCGAGAGAUGCUUGGAGGCGUGGCUACUGUUGUCCUGACGCCAUGAUGGAGCAGACCACACCCCUGUUCUCCUGUCACCGUGGUAACAACAGGUCAUGACUGGAGCCCAGGUUGUGGACAGAAAAGUAAUUUUUUCAUGCUCAUGCGAAAUCAAAUAAAGUGGUCUUGCUGUAAAACCAUGCGUUAACGUGAAAGCUGCAGACACNNNNNNNNNNCCCCAGUGGUGUGGCUACAGGACAGAAUAUAUAAGGCUUGUAGAAGGUGACUCCAAGUGUUCCUCUAAUCUGUCAAUCAAACGUCCUGUUGUACCUCAUUGGUCCGAGAGAUGCUUGGAGGCGUGGCUACUGUUGUCCUGACGCCAUGAUGGAGCAGACCACACCCCUGUUCUCCUGUCACCGUGGUAACAACAGGUCAUGACUGGAGCCCAGGUUGUGGACAGAAAAGUAAUUUUUUCAUGCUCAUGCGAAAUCAAAUAAAGUGGUCUUGCUGUAAAACCAUGCGUUAACGUGAAAGCUGCAGACACA